rnacentral:rRNA from 1 species
UACAGAGGUCCCGAGCGUUGUUCGGAUUUAGUGGGCGUAAAAGGUGCGUAGGCGGGAUCUUAAGUCAGAGGUGAAAGCCUGGAGCUCAACUCCAGAACUGCCUUUGAUACUGGGAUUCUUGAGUUCGAGAGAGGUGAGCGGAACUGCGAGUGUAGAGGUGAAAUUCGUAGAUAUUCGCAAGAACACCAGUGGCGAAGGCGAGUCCCUGGACAACUCCUGACACUGAGGCACGAAAGCUAGGGGAGCAACAGG